rnacentral:rRNA from 1 species
CCCAAGAGAUCGGGAUAACACCUGGAAACAGAUGCUAAUACCGGAUAACAACAGAUGAUGCCUAUCAACUGUUUAAAAGAUGGUUCUGNUAUCACUCUUGGAUGGACCUGCGGUGCAUUAGCUAGUUGGUAGGGUAACGGCCUACCAAGGCGAUGAUGCAUAGCCGAGUUGAGAGACUGAUCGGCCACAUUGGGACUGAGACACGGCCCAAACUCCUACGGGAGGCAGCAGAC